rnacentral:lncRNA from 1 species
GGUUUGCCCUGUUCCUCUGUAGACCCAGGCAGCUUCCGGCCGUCAGAUUAGUCGUCAGUGCGCAGACACCACCCUUCGUGGACACGCCCUCUAGGCGUAAGGUUCCAUGCGAGCGAUCUGAGCUGUUCUUAGACCCAGAAUUUCUUGCCUGAAGGAGGAAUCAGGUCCCCACAAGGAAAGACCCUGCAACUGUAUAAAAAAAGAAUCUAAAAAGAUCAUGACUCCUUCAGUCCUUUCCCAAAGAGACCUAUGGAAAUUUCCUCAGGGAAGAGGGACCAAGCAAAACCCCAGAAGAGUUGAUCUCAAAGCUUAUUUUAUGAAGAAAAUUGACCUGAGUGACACAAAGGGUUGGACUGUAGUAGAUGUCACGUUUUGCUGCCUAGAUCUCCAUCCAGGGAUGAACUCUUAUUUCCUCAGCUUCUUUGUCUCCUCAGCUUCUGGGAGGGUUGGCAGCUGAUAUUCUCACCUGAGUCCCUUUCUAGGACUUGCCCUUGCCUGAAGAGAGCUGUGCUGCCCAACAUGAUGCCUCCUCCAAGGUACAAUCCACACCCAGUGACUAAUAAACAGGGGUUACAAAGGCAUGCCUGCUUGCCCCAGUUUGGGACAACUUUACCAGGCCAACCCAGCCUCAAGGCUCUCCACAGGAACAGGUGAGGCCAUAGUUGUGAUUACAUCACAGGUCAGUUUCUCCUCUGCCCAAGCCUUCUUCCUUCAUUCCUCCACAGAUGCUGAUCCUGAGAUUCCUUUCCAGUAAACUUCCUCCAUGCAAUCUUCAUCUCAGGAGUCUGUUUCCUGGGGAAACUAACCUGCAACUGAUACAAAUGCCUAUUCUGUGAGAUAAAACACUAAAAGUACAAUGCGAGUGGUAUAAAUAUUCUGCUACAGGAAUACAAAGUCAGGUAUCAUUUUUGACUUAGGUAGUCAGAGAAUGGAGAUAUUCUGAGUUGGACUUCUGAGAUACUAGGAUUCAAUAGGUGAAGGGAAGAUGAGAUGGUAUAAGACUAACAUAGGCAGAAUUUUGCUAAACGAAUUGGAGAUGAAACAUCAUAAGUGCAGGUGCACAAGUAGAAAAGUAAAAUCAGAGCUCAAGGAAGGAGAAGUGAUCCAGCUGGGCAGAAAUAUGGGGCCUAUAUAGAGAUAUACCAGGAAAUAAAGCCAGGACGAAUGGCAGGGUAGGACCUGAUUGUUAAGGGUCUUAAAUGCUGGGGUCAAGAUUGUGGCCCUUACUUAAAAGUUGGUUGGGCAUGAUUUUGGGAGUUGUAGCAAAAGAUGUGGCAAACUCAAAGCUUCCUUUUCAUGUAAAGUAUAGAGAAGUGGAGGUUCAUAUCAUUAAAUCACUGUAAUUUCAGUGUGAACUUCUAACAAUUUGAGCUAACCAUGAGAUAGGACACCUUAUCAAGCAAUGAGCUCUUCAUUAUCUAAAGAGAUGCUGAAUUUCAAGUCCAUGUAGAGGAAGUCUUGUGUUGACUAGAGCAUAAUAUGUCUGGGGGGACUUUUCUUCUUUUUUACUGAUAUUUAGUAACUUGGAUAUUGUGCUAAGUGCUUUACAGGUAUUCUUAUUUAAUCCUCACAAGGCAGUAUGGUAGAUAAUCUAUUAUAUUGAAAAUAAUGGGCCAGGCACAGUGGCUCACGCCUGUAAUCCCAGCACUUUGGGAGGCUGAGGUGGGUGGAUCACCUGAGGUCAGGAGUUCAAGACCAGCCUGACCAACAUGGUGAAACCCUGUCUUUACUAAAAAUACAAAAAUAAGCGUGGCAUAGUAGCUCACACCUGUAGUCCCAGCUACUCAGAAGGCUGAAGCACGAGAAUCACUUGAACCCACGAGGUGGAGGUUACAGUGAGCCAAAAUCACACCACUGGACUCCAGCCUGGGUAAGAGAGCAUGACUAGGUCUCAAAAGAAAGAAAGAAAAUAAUGAACAAAAAAUGUUGAGUGGGCAGUAUUAAAUUAAAAAAAAACCUAAUGUAUUAAAGAAGGAGAAAAGUAUAAAAAUUAGUCAACAAGCAGAGAAAGAAAGAAAAUAUAAAGGUAAAAAUGUAUGUUAUCCAAAUGAGACCUCUUAAGAAGAAAAAAUAAAGGAAAUUCAAAAAAUAAGUUAGGAAAUAGUGAGUAAAAUUAUGAAGUUAAAAAUUCACCAAAAAUUUAUUGAUAUGUCCAAGUUCAGCUUGUAGUGAACAGACUCUUCUUAUGCAGAAUUUGAGCAAAGUGCUAACACAACAGAGUUAGGUAAUGGGAUGAGGGUCAGUCAGAUCACUCUAUUUUUGGAAACUGGUUUCAUGACUGCUUCCCCUUACUUAGUCAUAAACAGGCUAUAUAAAAAGCUGUCAGAGUGGAAAGAGGGAGAGGAUUUGUGAAUUUUUUUUUUUAGCAUGUUUUUAUGGUUCUGUAAGUCACCACCCUCCCAAAGGGAUGAAGUUUCGGGGUGCACUCCCCUUACCUCAGCCUAGUAGGGGGACUUCCAGGAGAUAAUGAGAGAGUUGGAUGUUUCCUCAAAUUUACAGACACAAAGACUGGUGCCUGGCUUCUCCUGAUAAAGCUAAACCUGCAUGUGGCUGGUCUCUAGUUGGCUAGAUAGUAGUAGUUAAAAUGAAAAGAAACACUUAAUGUUAGAUGCCAUCCAAUAGGGCCACCUAAAGGGAUGGAAGGUUCUCAACAACAAGAGCCCAGAGGUAGAAGCAAGACUCUUAGCGGGGAAGGAUGGAGUCGCAAGUGAAAACCUAGACAAAGAAGCAUCUGUCCUGGUCCAGAGGCUUCCCCAAUAAAGAUGUCUCACACAACUCUAAGAAGUUAGAACUCGAGAAAAAGACUAACAAGAAAAAGAGUAAGGUGUGUUUGUGGAAGAGGUGAGGCAGUUGUUUUCCUAUAAAUAAUGUUAAAUUAAACUAAAUUUGGUCUGAGGAUGCCUCGUAACUUGAGUCGCUACAUAACAAACUGCAACCUAACUUAGGAGUAUUUUUUUUUUGUACUAACGAG